rfam:Asian citrus Psyllid, Diaphorina citri - Florida Strain, whole genome shotgun sequence.
GCCUCGGUGGCGUAGUGGUCAAGACGCUCGCCUGGUAAACAGAAGGGCGUGGGUUCGAUCCCAGCCGAGGCA